CCUACGGGAGACAGCAGUAGGGAAUUUUCGUCUAUGGGCGCAAGCCUGAACGAGCAAUGCCGCGUGAACGAGGAAGGUCUUCGGAUCGUAAAGUUCUGUUGAAGGGGAAAAAGAGCGGAGAGAGGAAAUGGUCUCCGAUUGAUAUUACCCUUCGAGGAAGUCACGGCUAACUACGUGCCAGCAGCCGCGGUAAUACGUAGGUGGCGAGCGUUAUCCGGAAUGAUUGGGCGUAAAGGGUGCGUAGGCGGCCUGCUAAGUCUGGAGUGAAAGGUACCGGCUCAACCGGUACAGGCUCUGGAAACUGGCGGGCUAGAGAGCAGGAGAGGGCGGUGGAACUCCAUGUGUAGCGGUAAAAUGCGUAGAUAUAUGGAAGAACACCAGUGGCGAAGGCGGCCGCCUGGCCUGUUACUGACGCUGAGGCACGAAAGCGUGGGGAGCAAAUAGGAUUAGAUACCCCAGUAGUC
rnacentral:rRNA from 1 species